AAAGAUCUUGAGGCUUCAUGUUUUCUCAAGGAUGACUGCGUGAAGAUUGAGUGCAAUAUUGGUGUUGUGGUGACAUCGUGCUAUGAUUCUUCCAAGUUAAACAAAAUACAAGUUCCUGAGUCUGAUAUGAGGGAACAAUUCAGCAGCUUGGAGUUCUGGGUAUGAAUAAAUACACGUGAUGUGGAGAAGCAUGUGGAGAAGAAAAGAGGUUGUAGUCCAUGGAAUUAUUUUUGGGAUAGAAACAACAAGGUUGUGGUAAAGUUGCCGCGUGUGUGAGAGAAUUGUUUGGAAGAGGACGUGUGUUAGAGGUGGACAAGUGGCAGAGGAGGUAGAAAAUAGAAGUAUUCUAUAUAAGAAAGGUUGAAAAUGGAGAAGGAAGUAAGAGAAAGAUGGAGCAGGAGAGAAAAAGAUAGAGUGAAUCAGGGAAAGAAAGGCUUGAAGGGAUUCCGAUAGAGGACAGUCCCUACGUGCAAUACAAGGAUAUGGAGCAUUAUAAGCAACAGGGUUAUGGGACGCAGGGCCAUCAAAAACCAAAGACAGGUCGUGGUGCUGGAGCUACUGAAGCACCCACUCUUUCUGGUCUGCACUUUCUUCUUAGUCCCAUGCUACUGCCACUGCUGCAAAUAAUCACAAAGGAUUUCCUUGGUCAUUUCUAUUAUUAAACAUUUUAAA